rnacentral:rRNA from 1 species
AUUGAACGCUGGCGGCAGGCCUAACACAUGCAAGUCGAGCGGAUGAAGGGAGCUUGCUCCUGGAUUCAGCGGCGGACGGGUGAGUAAUGCCUAGGAAUCUGCCUGGUAGUGGGGGAUAACGUCCGGAAACGGGCGCUAAUACCGCAUACGUCCUGAGGGAGAAAGUGGGGGAUCUUCGGACCUCACGCUAUCAGAUGAGCCUAGGUCGGAUUAGCUAGUUGGUGGGGUAAAGGCCUACCAAGGCGACGAUCCGUAACUGGUCUGAGAGGAUGAUCAGUCACACUGGAACUGAGACACGGUCCAGACUCCUACGGGAGGCAGCAGUGGGGAAUAUUGGACAAUGGGCGAAAGCCUGAUCCAGCCAUGCCGCGUGUGUGAAGAAGGUCUUCGGAUUGUAAAGCACUUUAAGUUGGGAGGAAGGGCAGUAAGUUAAUACCUUGCUGUUUUGACGUUACCAACAGAAUAAGCACCGGCGAACUUCGUGC